GGUAACACUGGGACCCUGCAUAAGCAAGUGCAUGGCUAACUUAUCUACUGAUACUUAGGAUCAACUAUGCCUGAACGCCACCCAAUGGAACAAAUCAACAGUUUGACUCAUGGUCAUAAAGUCAUGGGGAAUAUGCCAGGGCACAGCAGUGCAAAGGUCCCUUCAUCUUGUAUUCUUGAUUUUUCAGCCCCUUUCAGGUUUAACUAGUGUUUGAUCUCCCUGAUAGACAAUCACAUUGAUCAGUACCCAACUCUAUCUUUGCAACCCAAGGUCAAGAUGCCCUAGCUAAUUUAUCUUAGCUGCUGUUAAUCUGCUUGCUUAUGGAAACCUUGUCCUGUAGCUACAGAGUCAGAUACCAGGCUGGUGUUUUUGCUUUUAAAAACUCCUUGCUCGAAAUGCUUAUGCUUUAGUUCAGUCACAAAUAUCUGAGUGUAAUCCCAGCCAGCUAGAAUAAAGACUCUCUCUUGAUUGUAAACUGUGUCUGCAUGGUCUUCU
rnacentral:lncRNA from 1 species